GGGGAAGCUGGCAGACUGAAGGUCUUAUAGCGCAAACUGUUACCCCGAGAACCAAAGCACAUGUUUUCAUCCCAAAUGCGAAACUAUACAUCUGCUGUGCUUAUCAAUCAAAUAUACCAUGGAUGACCUGUUUUGUCCUAUCAAUAUGUCUUCAACCCCAAAUUUAGAAGCUGCGCACUUGUCUGCUCUGUGAAUCUGAUAAACUCUCUCUCUCUAUGUAGAUAACAUCUUCUGGGCUAUUGUGAGAACUAAAUAGUAUGAAAUGCGUCUAUACAAUCAAAGAACGUAUGGAAUUUAUCCACCAAAUUUAGAAGACUAUAAUGGAUUUUGUUUGUUUUCUUGGUAUAUGGUGGUUGCACUCCAGAAGCAAUAGGCAUUGGAUAGCACAAAACGGAAGAUUGAAAGAUAUAACCACCUCACCAGCGUACAGCCUUGAAUUAUUAAAAGAAAUUGCUUAAAAGGGGUGAAAUUCCAA